rnacentral:rRNA from 1 species
AUUGAACGCUGGCGGCAGGCUUAACACAUGCAAGUCGAACGAGUGGCGGACGGGUGAGUAAUGCUUGGGAAUCUAGCUUAUGGAGGGGGAUAACUACGGGAAACUGUAGCUAAUACCGCGUACCAUAGGAUGAGCCCAAGUGGGAUUAGGUAGUUGGUGAGGUAAAGGCUCACCAAGCCGACGAUCUCUAGCUGGUCUGAGAGGAUGAUCAGCCAACCGGGGACUGGGACACGGCCCAGACUCCUACGGGAGGCAGCAGUGGGGAAUAAUGCACAAUGGGGGCAAGGUGAUGCAGCCAUGCCGGGUGUAUGAAAGAGGCCUUCGGGUUGUAAAGUUCUUUCGGUAGCGAGGCGUUAACUACAGAAGAAGCACCGGCUAAAUCCGUGCCAGCAGCCGCGGUAAUUC